GAUGGGACUAGGCAGAGUUUUGUGUUACUUUACUCUAGUAAUCUUCAUUCAAUAUUCCUGCAGUCAGACACUGAUCGAGUCUGAUCCAGUGACCAUCAAACCUGAUCAGUCUCAUAAACUGACCUGCACAGCCUCUGGAUUUAACUUUGGUGGCUCUUGGAUGGCUUGGAUAAGACAGGCACCUGGAAAAGGGCUGGAAUGGGUUGCAACUAUUUCAGAUAGCAGUGGUAGCAUAUAUUACUCCAGCGCGGUUAAGGGCCGCUUCACCAUCUCCAGAGACAACAGGGGCAGCAGCUGCUUGUUUUUGUGAAGGAUUCCUGGAUUUGCCUGGUGAUACCUGGAAAUAACCUUGAAGUGGGUGUGGCCUAAAGUAAUUAUCAGGAAUGAAAAUAUAUAUAAACUAUUCUAUGCUCCUGGAAACACCGGAAAAAGCCACAGGUGGUGUUGGAGGUGUGGAGCUCACUCAGACAGACUCUGUGCUGGUGAAGCCUGGAGAGUCGUUCUCCAUCUCUUGUAAGAUCUCAGUGUCGAGUUAUUGUAUACACUGGAUACGGCAACCUGCUGGAAAAGCACUGGAAUGGCUCGGAUAUCUGUGUAGCACUGAUAGCACUAAUCUCAAAGACACGAUGAAGAGCAAGAUUAGUCUCAGCCAGGACAAAUCCAUCAGCACAGUUUACUUAAGAGGACAAAACUUUCAGGUCGAGGACACGGCUGUGUAUUACUGUGCCAGACACACAACACUACAAACUCACUGAAGCCCUGUACAAAAACAUCCCUGGUUAUUUUCCUCUCUCUGCAGUACACAUGUCCCCAGAGGGGUCUGGUAUAUAUGAGCUAGCAGAGCUAAGACACUUCUGUAGUUCAAAGAUAUCUACAUAAGGUUUCAUCUUUGUCUCAACAUUAAAUUAAAUUGUUUUCCUGAACACAAGUGUAUACACAGUUAAUCCAUCACUAAUAUGACACCAAUCUAUUCCAAAGCUUUUAUGCAGAUUGCUGAAGUGGAUGUUGGUGUAACACAAAAUUUAAGCUAUUAUUAUAAUUAUAAUUGUCUGUGUGUUUUUACACAUCUAGAAGUCACAAAAUGUUACAAAAUUUAAACUUUAAUUUAAAAUUUUUAUUGUAUGUUUCUUUCUUUUAGAGCUGCUUUGAGAAAAUACCUCUUAUGGACCUCCGCCUAUAUCCAUUGUCCAACAAAAAGUGGUACAGCUCCCACAUACUUUGACACAGUUUGAGAAAAGGAGAAGUAAAACUGAGAACUAUAAUUUCUAAUAAAUGUCACUGGGGUGCAGGUCCCUGCUGAGGGAAUAUUUACAGCUCAGGAGGAUGUGCUGGUAUACGUUUCUAAAGUCUGUUGUGUCAGUGUGGUUGUCAUGCACAGUUAUAUCUUUAAAUUACAAACUUUAAAAUGACCUAAAUCAAGGUUUCUGUGUCAGAAUGAUCAAUAAAGUGCAUGAAAUAAUUGUCUCUUUCUUUAAAACCCCUUUAAGCAUUGCCCCCCUUUUGCAGCUUUUUCGCCUACAUGACCUACCCAACAAAAAGUGGUACAGCUCCCACAUACUUU